UCCGGUGGCGAUGGCAAGGUGGCCACACCCGUUCCCAUCCCGAACACGGAAGUUAAGCACCUUAGCGCCGAUGGUACUGCACGGGCAGCUGUGUGGGAGAGUAGGACGCCGCCGGAU
rfam:Desulfobacterium vacuolatum DSM 3385 genome assembly, contig: Ga0002809_122